UACGUAGGGGGCAAGCGUUGUCCGGAAUCAUUGGGCGUAAAGCGCGCGUAGGCGGCCAGAUAAGUCCGGUGUGAAAGUCACAGGCUCAACCUGUGAAUGCCGCUGGAAACUGUCUGGCUUGAGUCCGGAAGGGGCGAGUGGAAUUCCUGGUGUAGCGGUGAAAUGCGCAGAUAUCAGGAGGAACACCAAUAGCGAAGGCAGCUCGCUGGGACGUUACUGACACUGAGGCGCGAAAGCGUGGGGAGCGAACAGG
rnacentral:rRNA from 1 species